rnacentral:rRNA from 1 species
GGGUGUGAUCAUACCAGCACUAAUGCACCGGAUCCUAUUAGAACUCCGCAGUUAAGCAUGCUUGGGCGAGAGUAGUACUAGGAUGGGUGACCUCCUGGGAAGUCCUCGUGUUGCACCCC